GCGCUGAUAGUUCAGUGGUAGAAUGCGACCUUGCCAAGGUUGUGACCCGGGUUCGAGCCCCGGUCGGCGCA
rnacentral:tRNA from 1 species